UUAAGCGACUAAGCGUACACGGUGGAUGCCCUGGCAGUCAGAGGCGAUGAAGGACGUGCUAAUCUGCGAAAAGCGUCGGUAAGGUGAUAUGAACCGUUAUAACCGGCGAUGUCCGAAUGGGGAAACCCAGUGCAAUUCGUUGCACUAUCGUUAACUGAAUACAUAGGUUAACGAGGCGAACCGGGGGAACUGAAACAUCUAAGUACCCCGAGGAAAAGAAAUCAACCGAGAUUCCCCCAGUAGCGGCGAGCGAACGGGGAGCAGCCCAGAGUCUGAAUCAGCUUGUGUGUUAGUGGAACGGUCUGGAAAGUCCGACGGUACAGGGUGAUAGUCCCGUACACCAAAAUGCACAGGUUGUGAACUCGAAGAGUAGGGCGGGACACGUGGUAUCCUGUCUGAAUAUGGGGGGACCAUCCUCCAAGGCUAAAUACUCCUGACUGACCGAUAGUGAACCAGUACCGUGAGGGAAAGGCGAAAAGAACCCCGGCGAGGGGAGUGAAAAAGAACCUGAAACCGUGUACGUACAAGCAGUGGGAGCACCUUCGGGUGUGACUGCGUACCUUUUGUAUAAUGGGUCAGCGACUUAUAUUCUGUAGCAAGGUUAACCGUAUAGGGGAGCCGCAGGGAAACCGAGUCUUAACUGGGCGUUAAGUUGCAGGGUAUAGACCCGAAACCCGGUGAUCUAGCCAUGGGCAGGUUGAAGGUUGGGUAACACUAACUGGAGGACCGAACCGACUAAUGUUGAAAAAUUAGCGGAUGACUUGUGGCUGGGGGUGAAAGGCCAAUCAAACCGGGAGAUAGCUGGUUCUCCCCGAAAGCUAUUUAGGUAGCGCCUCGUGAAUUCAUCUUCGGGGGUAGAGCACUGUUUCGGCUAGGGGGUCAUCCCGACUUACCAACCCGAUGCAAACUACGAAUACCGAAGAAUGUUAUCACGGGAGACACACGGCGGGUGCUAACGUCCGUCGUGAAGAGGGAAACAACCCAGACCGCCAGCUAAGGUCCCAAAGUCAUGGUUAAGUGGGAAACGAUGUGGGAAGGCACAGACAGCCAGGAUGUUGGCUUAGAAGCAGCCAUCAUUUAAAGAAAGCGUAAUAGCUCACUGGUCGAGUCGGCCUGCGCGGAAGAUGUAACGGGGCUAAACCAUGCACCGAAGCUGCGGCAGCGACACUAUGUGUUGUUGGGUAGGGGAGCGUUCUGUAAGCCUGCGAAGGUGACCUGUGAGGGUUGCUGGAGGUAUCAGAAGUGCGAAUGCUGACAUAAGUAACGAUAAAGCGGGUGAAAAGCCCGCUCGCCGGAAGACCAAGGGUUCCUGUCCAACGUUAAUCGGGGCAGGGUGAGUCGACCCCUAAGGCGAGGCCGAAAGGCGUAGUCGAUGGGAAACAGGUUAAUAUUCCUGUACUUGGUGUUACUGCGAAGGGGGGACGGAGAAGGCUAUGUUAGCCGGGCGACGGUUGUCCCGGUUUAAGCAUGUAGGCUGGUUGUCCAGGCAAAUCCGGAUAAUCAAGGCUGAGGUGUGAUGACGAGGCACUACGGUGCUGAAGUAACAAAUGCCCUGCUUCCAGGAAAAGCCUCUAAGCAUCAGGUAACAUCAAAUCGUACCCCAAACCGACACAGGUGGUCAGGUAGAGAAUACCAAGGCGCUUGAGAGAACUCGGGUGAAGGAACUAGGCAAAAUGGUGCCGUAACUUCGGGAGAAGGCACGCUGGUGUGUAGGUGAAGUCCCUGCGGAUGGAGCUGAGACCAGUCGAAGAUACCAGCUGGCUGCAACUGUUUAUUAAAAACACAGCACUGUGCAAACACGAAAGUGGACGUAUACGGUGUGACGCCUGCCCGGUGCCGGAAGGUUAAUUGAUGGGGUUAUCCGUAAGGAGAAGCUCUUGAUCGAAGCCCCGGUAAACGGCGGCCGUAACUAUAACGGUCCUAAGGUAGCGAAAUUCCUUGUCGGGUAAGUUCCGACCUGCACGAAUGGCGUAAUGAUGGCCAGGCUGUCUCCACCCGAGACUCAGUGAAAUUGAACUCGCUGUGAAGAUGCAGUGUACCCGCGGCAAGACGGAAAGACCCCGUGAACCUUUACUAUAGCUUGACACUGAACAUUGAGCCUUGAUGUGUAGGAUAGGUGGGAGGCUUUGAAGCGUGGACGCCAGUCUGCGUGGAGCCAACCUUGAAAUACCACCCUUUAAUGUUUGAUGUUCUAACGUUGGCCCCUGACCGGGGUUGCGGACAGUGUCUGGUGGGUAGUUUGACUGGGGCGGUCUCCUCCCAAAGCGUAACGGAGGAGCACGAAGGUUAGCUAAUCCUGGUCGGACAUCAGGAGGUUAGUGCAAUGGCAUAAGCUAGCUUGACUGCGAGCGUGACGGCGCGAGCAGGUGCGAAAGCAGGUCAUAGUGAUCCGGUGGUUCUGAAUGGAAGGGCCAUCGCUCAACGGAUAAAAGGUACUCCGGGGAUAACAGGCUGAUACCGCCCAAGAGUUCAUAUCGACGGCGGUGUUUGGCACCUCGAUGUCGGCUCAUCACAUCCUGGGGCUGAAGUAGGUCCCAAGGGUAUGGCUGUUCGCCAUUUAAAGUGGUACGCGAGCUGGGUUUAGAACGUCGUGAGACAGUUCGGUCCCUAUCUGCCGUGGGCGCUGGAGAAUUGAGGGGGGCUGCUCCUAGUACGAGAGGACCGGAGUGGACGCAUCACUGGUGUUCGGGUUGUCAUGCCAAUGGCACUGCCCGGUAGCUAAAUGCGGAAGAGAUAAGUGCUGAAAGCAUCUAAGCACGAAACUUGCCCCGAGAUGAGUUCUCCCUGAGACUAUAAGUCUCCUGAAGGAACGUUAAAGACGAUGACGUUGAUAGGCCGGGUGUGUAAGCGCAGCGAUGCGUUGAGCUAACCGGUACUAAUGAACCGUGAGGCUUAACCU
rnacentral:rRNA from 1 species